GUAGCCCUCUCCGAUUGGCAUCCGUGACGUAAGGCGAUCCGUUCCGUGACGUAAGGCGUACGCGUGGAAGAAGACGAGAAACGUGGGAGAUCCAGAAGCAUCGAGACAAGGACGAACCAAGAAGGCUUGUAAAACGAGCAACCCGAUCCGAUUCCGGUUCCCGGAUACGUUGGCUAUCCGGUUUGUAAGUUUCCGCUGCCUAUUAUUUCCAACAAUUGGUAUCAGAGCCUGCAUGCUUGUUUUCGCCUUAUGAUCAUGCCUGUGAUGUUUUU
rnacentral:lncRNA from 1 species